CCUGAGAAUACACACCAAGCCCCUCCUUCCAGGGGCAAAGAAAUGGGGACCUCAGGCCUCGGGAGGGCUGAAGAGCUCCUGGGCGCCCGGGGCUCCCUGGGGGCAGUCAAGCCGACUUGGAUUGGUCCAGCGGGCAAGAGGAGCUGGGCCCCGAGCAGCUGUGGACGAGGACAAGAAGAGCCCUGAACACAGCUGAGGACCCACCUGGGCUCCACUGGCCGGCAGCCCAUCCCCCACCCUCACUGGGCCCCUGGCCCCAGAUCUUGACAGACAGAUGGCCUGUCCCGGCAGGCUACUCGGCUGCUGGACCUGAAGAGCCCAGCCACAGCAGCAGCUCUUUCUUCAAUGUUUGGGGUCCCCUGGAGCCUCAGAGUGGACACCCCAGCCCUGGCCUCCAGGGGGGCUGCUCCGCAGUGAAACCUGGGCCCCUCCUGGCCUCUGAAGCUGCAAGUGUGCCUGAGGAAGGGUCUCCAGCAUCCAAUACCUGGGGGUUCCAGGGGGUACAGGGAGGUACCCACCCUCGUCUCCCCGGAGGUACUGGGACCAGAUAGAGGAGCCGGGAGGGCAGGGCUCUUCACCUCACCCCCACCUCUGCUUUUAUAUUCUAGAAACCACAGAAGCAGAACUUUCCUGCCUCUAAAAACUUAAACCUUGGCAGAUAUACAUGCUAGCUGAUUUUCCAGACUGCUGAGCUGGGGUGGCCACGAGGUGUCCUGCACCCCUUGUGAGAGAAGAACCAGCCCCGGCCAGUCCUCAGCAGUGCCCCCCCUACACCCCACCCCCACCCCCCGCAACACCAGCCGUGCCAGACCUGCCCUGCCUCCCCACGCCUUCCCAUCUCUGCAGCGACAGUUGCAGUGUUCCUGGGUCACAGCACACCUGGGAACCAGCGCUGGACUGGGCGACAGGAGGGGGCACUAGGCUGCUCUCACCUCCACUCAGCUGGACCCCGCCAGCCUCAAGGCCCAGCCCAGCUGUCCCCAUGUCCCCAAUAGGAGGGGCACCCCACAACACCCUGCAGCAUAGGGUCUGGUCCACAUGAAGUGUAAUGCAGAGAUGGGGUGUCUGAGGGCACUGCCUUUUGGCUCUGAGGCUGUCUCCCUCGGGGCCCCAGCCCAUGAUGGCUCCCGGUGGAGGGCCCUGGGCAACACAGGACUCCCCGAAUGCCAACUUUGGCUCCAGGGACCCCCCAUACACAUGGCGUGGGGGAGGGCGCAUGGAGAGGCCUUUAUUUGAAUCCUGAAUUCCUGUGUCCCCGGGACUACAGGCGCAUCAUGGGACCUCUCUGAACUUGAGUGCUGGCAACUAGGACACUGGGUCUUCCCCCAGAGCUGGCUUCCCCACCCGUGCCCACCACACCCUGGACCUCCCACAAGGACACUGGCUUGGGCAUGGCUCCAUGGCCCCCACGCCCAGUGCAGUGCCUGACCUGCAGGAGCCUCGCUGUGUUUGCUGGGCGAUAAAUUAAUAAACAAGGGCCCCUCCCUGACGCUCAGCAAAUAUUGUCGGAAUGAAGGUACGUCACGACCCACACGGACACAUGUCAGAGUACACAGACCAUAAAAGAGGCAGUGACAAGUGCUAGUGGGGCUGCGAUAAGAUUAGAGGCUGGGGCCCCCAGGUCAGCUCAGCGGGUCACCGAGGGGUGCGUGGGUGAGAUGAGUUUUCUGCUUCCAGUGCAGUUGGAGAACAUUCUGGCUGCUCUCUGGAAUCCUCUGUGCACCGUGGGUCCUUUGCUCCCAACCCAGACCUCUCUCUUGCUGUGUGAUCUUGGGCAAGUCGCUUAGCUUCUCUGAGCUUGUCUUUGGUCACCUGUAAAAUGUGGACAGUAACAGUACCCACCUCUCAUGCUCGGAAUUAAAUGAAAAGUGUGACGUAACAUAAAGCGUCACGUGUGCCCUGUCCUAUUAGAAGGCCACAAACUGCAGCCAUGUCAUUAGGGUCCGCCUCACAGCUGCGGGAGAGAGAGGGUGGGACGAAGCUCUACCUGCCUUAGC